rnacentral:tRNA from 1 species
CGUCGCCGGAGGGCCGGAGCCCGUCCCCGGUGUCACCGGGGACGGGCUCCGGCCGUGGCCCGAUGGGUCAGUUCACUGCGCCGAUGGCGACGGC